UACGUAGGCAGCAAGCGUUGUUCGGAAUUACUGGGCGUAAAGAGUGUGUAGGCGGUGCUCUAAGUCUGUUGUGAAAUCUCCCGGCUUAACUGGGAGGGUGCGGGGGAAACUGGAGUGCUCGAGGGUGGGAGAGGUAAGCGGAAUUCCUGGUGUAGCGGUGAAAUGCGUAGAUAUCAGGAGGAACACCUGUGGUGUAGACAGCUUACUGGACCACUUCUGACGCUGAGACACGAAAGCGUGGGUAGCAAACAGG
rnacentral:rRNA from 1 species